rnacentral:rRNA from 1 species
CACUCUAGAGAGACUGCCAGGGAUAACCUGGAGGAAGGUGGGGAUGACGUCAAAUCAUCAUGCCCCUUAUGCUUAGGGCUACACACGUGCUACAAUGGGUAGUACAGAGGGUUGCCAAGCCGUAAGGCGGAGCUAAUCCCUUAAAGCUACUCUCAGUUCGGAUUGUAGGCUGAAACUCGCCUACAUGAAGCUGGAGUUACUAGUAAUCGCAGAUCAGAAUGCUGCGGUGAAUGCGUUCCCGGGUCUUGUACACACCGCCCGUCACACCACGGGAGGUGGAGACGCCCGAAGCCGAUUAUCUAACCUUUUGGAAGAAGUCGUCGAAGGUGGAAUUAAUAACUGGGGUGAAGUCGUAACAAGGUAGCCGUAUCGGAAGGUGCGGCUGGAUCACCUCCUUUCUAAGGAGA